CGUCGGCUAGCUCAGUUGGUAGAGCAGGGGGCCGAUAACCUCAAGGUCGCUGGUUCGAUCCCAGCGCCGACGA
rnacentral:tRNA from 1 species